AGACCGGUGCCAGCCGCCGCGGUAAUACCGGCAGCUCAAGUGAUGUCCCAUAUUAUUGGGCCUAAAGCGUCCGUAGCUGGCCAACCAAGUCUAUCGGGAAAUCCACCCGCCCAACGGGUGGGCGUCCGGUAGAAACUGGCUGGCUUGGAACCGGAAGGCUCAGAGAGUACGUCCGGGGUAGGAGUGAAAUCCCGUAAUCCCGGACGGACUACCGAUGGCGAAAGCACUCUGAGAAGACGGAUUCGACAGUGAGGGACGAAAGCUCGGGUCUCAAACCGGAUUAGAUACCCGGGUAGUCCGAGCCGUAAACGAUGCUCGUUAGGUGUGGCACCCACUACGAGUGGGUGCUGCGCCGUAGGGAAGCCGCUAAACGAGCCGCCUGGGAAGUACGUCCGCAAGGAUGAAACUUAAAGGAAUUGGCGGGGGAGCACUACAACCGGAGGAGCCUGCGGUUUAAUUGGACUCAACGCCGGACAUCUCACCAGCCCCGACAUCAGUAAUGACAGUCAUGUUGACGACAUCUGCCCGAGCUGAUGAGAGGAGGUGCAUGGCCGCCGUCAGCUCGUACCGUGAGGCAUCCUGUUAAGUCAGGCAACGAGCGAGAUCCACAUCCCUAAUUGCCAGCACCACCGCCAGGUGGGUGGGUACAUUAGGGAGACUGCCGCUGCUAAAGCGGAGGAAGGAAUGGGCAACGGUAGGUCAGUAUGCCCCGAAUGGGCUGGGCAACACGCGGGCCACAAUGGUCAGGACAACGGGUUCCAACACUGAAAAGUGACGGUAAUCUCGCAAACCUGGUCGUAGUUCGGAUUGUGGGCUGAAACUCGCCCACAUGAAGCUGGAUUCGGUAGUAAUCGCGUGUCAGAAGCGCGCGGUGAAUACGUCCCUGCUCCUUGCACACACCGCCCGUCAAAGCACCCGAGUGAGGUCCGGAUGAGGCCACAUCACUGUGGUCGAAUCUGGGCUUCGCAA
rnacentral:rRNA from 1 species